GAUGAAGAACGUAGCGAAAUGCGAUAAGUAAUGUGAAUUGCAGAAUUCAGUGAAUCAUCGAAUCUUUGAACGCACAUUGCGCCCGUCAGUAUUCUGGCGGGCAUGCCUGUUCGAGCGUCAUUACGCCCCUCAAGUCCCCUGUGGACUUGGUGUUGGGGAUCGGCGAGGCUGGUUUUCCAGCACAGCCGUCCCUUAAAUUAAUUGGCGGUCUCGCCGUGGCCCUCCUCUGCGCAGUAGUAAAACACUCGCAACAGGAGCCCGGCGCGGUCCACUGCCGUAAAACCCCCCAACUUUUUAUAGUUGACCUCGAAUCAGGUAGGGAUACCCGCUGAACUUAAGCAUAUCAAUAAGCGGAGGA
rnacentral:misc_RNA from 1 species